UACGUAGGGUGCGAGCGUUAAUCGGAAUUACUGGGCGUAAAGCGUGCGCAGGCGGUUCUGUAAGCCAGAUGUGAAAUCCCCGGGCUUAACCUGGGAAUGGCAUUUGGGACCGCAAGGCUGGAGUGUGGCAGAGGGAGGUGGAAUUCCACGUGUAGCAGUGAAAUGCGUAGAGAUGUGGAGGAACACCGAUGGCGAAGGCAGCCUCCUGGGCCAGCACUGACGCUCAUGCACGAAAGCGUGGGGAGCAAACAGG
rnacentral:rRNA from 1 species